rnacentral:rRNA from 1 species
GAGGGGGUCGCGGCUGAUUAGCUUGUUGGCGGGGUAAUGGCCCACCAAGGCGAAGAUCGGUAUCCGGCCUGAGAGGGCGCACGGACACACUGGAACUGAAACACGGUCCAGACUCCUACGGGAGGCAGCAGUGGGGAAUUUUGCGCAAUGGGGGAAACCCUGACGCAGCAACGCCGCGUGGAGGAUGAAGUCCCUUGGGACGUAAACUCCUUUCGACCCGGACGAUACUGACGGUACGGGUGGAAGAAGCACCGGCUAACUCUGUGCCAACAGCCGCGGUAAUACAGAGGGUGCGAGCGUUGUUCGGAAUUAUUGGGCGUAAAGGGCGCGUAGGCGGUGCCACAAGUCACCUGUGAAAUCUCCUGGCUCAACUGGGAGCUUGCAGGCGAAGCUGUGGUGCUGGAGUGUGGGAGAGGUGCGUGGAAUUCCCGGUGUAGCGGUGAAAUGCGUAGAUAUCGGGAGG